AUACCCGGUGUGUUUGUGUGUGUGCGUAAAAAAGUGAACAAAAAAAAAAAUGAACAAAGACCUAAAAGUUCAUUACCCAUUGACAUUCUUGUAACCCUGCAUGUAUAUAAAACAAAAACCAUUUUCAUAAUUCAAAGUGUGGCUUUGGAUAAACAUUCUCUCUCGUUGUGUGUGUGUGUGUGUGUGUCUUUUAGACACCACCACAAACAAACAAACAAACAAUUAUUACACACACCGAUAAUUGAUUAAAAAGGUGUGCGUGUGUGUGUGUGUUCUUAAUUAUCAUUAUCAUCUGAAUAAUGAAUUUGUGAAACAGAAAAAAAUUCAUCGAGAAAAACCACAAACAAAGUAUGUGACAAAUAUGAUGACAGUAACGAUGAUGAUGAUGAUGAUGGCCAAUACCGAAAUAAUUCGAUAAUUGAAUUCUCAAAUUUGGAAAUUAUUUUCAAUAUUGAAACAAGGUAGGUUUCGUUUAUUUAAUUUAAUUUUCGAAUCUAAAAUUUUUUAUUA
rnacentral:lncRNA from 1 species